GCAUAUCAAUAAGCGGAGGAAAAGAAACCAACAGGGAUUGCCCUAGUAACGGCGAGUGAAGCGGCAACAGCUCAAAUUUGAAAUCUGGCUUCGGCCCGAGUUGUAAUUUGCAGAGGAAGCUUUAGGCGCGGCACCUUCUGAGUCCCCUGGAACGGGGCGCCAUAGAGGGUGAGAGCCCCGUAUAGUUGGAUGCCUAGCCUGUGUAAAGCUCCUUCGACGAGUCGAGUAGUUUGGGAAUGCUGCUCAAAAUGGGAGGUAAAUUUCUUCUAAAGCUAAAUACCGGCCAGAGACCGAUAGCGCACAAGUAGAGUGAUCGAAAGAUGAAAAGCACUUUGAAAAGAGGGUUAAAUAGCACGUGAAAUUGUUGAAAGGGAAGCGCUUGUGACCAGACUUGCGCCGGGCGGAUCAUCCGGUGUUCUCACCGGUGCACUCCGCCCGGCUCAGGCCAGCAUCGGUUCUCGCGGGGGGAUAAAGGUCCUGGGAACGUAGCUCCUCCGGGAGUGUUAUAGCCCGGGGCGUAAUGCCCUCGCGGGGACCGAGGUUCGCGCAUCUGCAAGGAUGCUGGCGUAAUGGUCAUCAGCGACCCGUCUUGAAACACGGACCAAGGAGUCAAGGUUUUGCGCGAGUGUUUGGGUGUAAAACCCGCACGCGUAAUGAAAGUGAACGUAGGUGAGAGCUUCGGCGCAUCAUCGACCGAUCCUGAUGUUUUCGGAUGGAUUUGAGUAGGAGCGUUAAGCCUUGGACCCGAAAGAUGGUGAACUAUGCUUGGAUAGGGUGAAGCCAGAGGAAACUCUGGUGGAGGCUCGCAGCGGUUCUGACGUGCAAAUCGAUCGUCAAAUCUGAGCAUGGGGGCGAAAGACUAAUCGAACCAUCUAGUAGCUGGUUACCGCCGAAGUU
rnacentral:rRNA from 1 species